rnacentral:rRNA from 1 species
UACGUAGGGGGCAAGCGUUGUCCGGAUUUAUUGGGCGUAAAGAGCGUGUAGGCGGCCAGGUAGGUCUGCUGUGAAAACUCGAGGCUUAACCUCGAGCUGUCGGCGGAAACCAUCUGGCUAGAGUCCGGAAGAGGAGAAUGGAAUUCCCGGUGUAAGCGGUGAAAUGCGCAGAUAUCGGGAAGAACACCUAUGGCGAAGGCAGCUCUCUGGGACGGUACUGACGCUGAGACGCGAAAGCGUGGGGAGCGAACAGG